rnacentral:tRNA from 1 species
CCUUCGAUAGCUCAGUUGGUAGAGCGGUGGACUGUAGAAGUUGUGUUGGUUAUCCAUAGGUCGCUGGUUCGAAUCCGGCUCGAAGGA